rnacentral:lncRNA from 1 species
UAAGCCGCGCUUUCCACAUUUCUCAAACGCAGCGGUGAAGUCGCUGAACUGAAUCGAAAUCCUGGGUGGGGAAACUAGGCUGGACAAGAGCCCCUGAGUCAUAGGGCUGGGGAUCCAGAAAUCCCGGGCCCUCCUGACACGCUGUACCCGGGUCUUCAGAGACUCGAAGGAGGGGACUAGAGGAAAACGCUCAGGCUCGGGUCGGUCCCCUACUUACUGAGACCCCUGGGUUUAGGUUUCGCGAGCGCCGCCGCGGAGGCUCACCUGGAUGCGACCCGGAAAUACUAGUUCAGCAGCUCCGUGUCCGAGCUACGGAACGGCAAAAAGGCCAAAGUGUCUGCUCUGUUCGGGAUCUCGCGAGACUUUAGAUGGGAGUCACAGGGUGGCACUGAAGUCAGGACUCGGAGUCCCCGCAGCCCUCCUGGCGCCCUCCCAGUCUGAGGAUCCUCCUGUGGAAGAACCACUCUGUCCGAGUCCCCAUUUCACAGCUGGGGAAAUUGAAACCCUGUGUUCCAGGAACAUUAUAAGGAAGGUCUUGUGGCUCCGGAGCUCUCCACACCACCCAGAACCAGUUUGAGAGAGAGAGGAGGAGAGCUCUGCCUGGCAGCUCAGUAGGGUUGCCAGAGGAUGGAGAAAAGGGGAGGAGCGAGGAAGACCUAGUGCAAAGGGUUUACUGUGAGGCUAAUGGGGCCCGAAAGGUUGGAACUGGUAGCCUCCAUGGGGGGAGGGAGCUAGGAUGCCAUCAGGAGAUAUUUCAGAUAAAGUGUCCAUAAAGAUCUCAAAAGGGAGGGAAACCAAUUUCCAAGAUUCCAGUAAUGUGCUAUGGUUUAUUUUCCCAAACUAAACAAUGCUUGUUUUCAUAAUUAUGUGGGUUUAUUUUGUAUUUUUUUAAAAAGAUUUUAUUUAUUUAGGGCGCAUGGGUGGCUCAGUUGUUAAGCGUAGGCCUUCAGCUGGAGUCAUGAUCCCAGUGUUCUGGGAUCCAGCACAGCACUGAGCACCCUGCACAGCAAGAAGCCUGCUUUUUCCUCUCCCACUCUCCCUACUUGUGUUCCCUCUCUUGCUGUCUCUCUGUCAAAUAGUGAAUAAAAUCUUUUUUUAAAAAAAGUAAAAAUUGUAA